CUUUAUGAUGAGGUUAAUUUGCGAUUGAUUCUAUUCGGUGGCUCUCUUCGCCAGAGUAGCUAUACCGCUUAGACAACUGAUAUUCAAUUUCUUACAUAUUCUGAAC
rnacentral:snoRNA from 1 species